AUAUAUAAUCUAGAAGAUUACAGAGAUAGCGUAUCCAGAAGCUUAGAGGUUUUGUGCUUAACAUCAUAUCAUCAUGCUAUUCAAAAUUGGUUACGUUUUCCUGCUGGGUUUGUUCUGUGUGCUGGGUCAGUCUGAUGAGGUCGAUACGGCUCCUAGUGAUGUAGACGACGCGCCUAGUGAGGUAGACAAUGAUGUAGAUGGGGUAGAUUAUAGCGAAUUGGAAUCUGAUAUAGAUUGGGAUGCCGUAGACGAUUAUUUAGAUAGCUUACAGAAAAGAGACUUCUGGGGAGC
rnacentral:sRNA from 1 species